GCCCAGACUCCUACGAGAGGCAGCAGUGGGGAAUAUUGCACAAUGGGGGAAACCCUGAUGCAGCAACGCCGCGUGAGUGAAGAAGUAUUUCGGUAUGUAAAGCUCUAUCAGCAGGGAAGAGAAUGACGGUACCUGACUAAGAAGCCCCGGCUAACUACGUGCCAGCAGCCGCGGUAAUACGUAGGGGGCAAGCGUUAUCCGGAUUUACUGGGUGUAAAGGGAGCGUAGACGGCAGCGCAAGUCCGAAGUGAAAGCCCGGGGCCCAACCCCGGGACUGCUUUGGAAACUGUGAAGCUGGAGUGCGGGAGGGGCAGGCGGAAUUCCUGGUGUAGCGGUGAAAUGCGUAGAUAUCAGGAGGAACACCGGCGGCGAAGGCGGCCUGCUGGACCGUAACUGACGUUGAGGCUCGAAAGCGUGGGGAGCAAACAGGAUUAGAUACCCGAGUA
rnacentral:rRNA from 1 species